GAAGGAGACAAUAAAAUAAAUAAAACAAACAUAAAAACUAAAGAGUGAGUGAGUCAUGGUUUUUGAAAGGGAUUGGUUUGCUGAUUUAAGGUUAGUAUUAGGAAUGAGAGGAUUCACUUCCUCUUUCUCGUUGUCUUCAGAGUGUGUGUGUGUGCGUAUGGGUAUUAAUGUUUCUGUAUGAGUUUACCUUCCGGUGGUAAUGAGCAGCAAUAACUUUCGGUUCCUGAAAACACUAUUUGGCAUGACAUAGCCUCUCUCAUUGCUUACAACGCAUUAGAACUAUGCUGAGUCUACAACGCGUCCGCAAGGCAGAAUUUCCGCGCUUGGUGUAGCCAAGAGCUAGGAGAAGACCAAAUGCGCAUGGACCAAGAUAUAUGCAGUAGAAAUACCAUAGAAGCACCACAACCACACUGAGAAAAGCCACUUUGUGUUGCUAAUCAAGGAAUGUUCACUAUGUGCCAAAGUAAUUAUAAUUCCUCCCAUUUGUCUGCUACAAUUUACAUCGUGCCCAUUUUUUUUGUUGCAAAGUAUUUAACAAGAAUUUAGAGUAAGGAUCGAAGAGGUUUUUUUCUUUACUAUUGUUAGGGCCCUAUCUCCACAUGUUUCGAUCAGUGAGGCUAGGCUAACUAACAGAAACACCUUUGUACAACCACAAAUCAGAAACAGUAUGUUAAAUUAAAAGUAAAACUGAAAACAGUGAUUUAUAAAUUCUCUUUGAACUGUAUAACAUUGAAAACAAUUCAUUUUAACAGCACCACAAACUAAAUCCUACAAAAUGAUUAUACAGUUCAAUUGCCACCUCUCUUAAACAGUUUUAACAUAAACUUAACAUUAUAAUAAUCAUGAAGGGGGGAUUUACUGCAGCACUGUUGCACUAGACCGCAUUCCUGUUCGCUAAGUGUACAUAAUACAUUGGCAAACCCAUUCAAACUUGUAUAUAGGCCAUAAGUGUUGUUGACAGUAAUGAUGUUGAUACAACGGCAACAACAUUUUGAGAAAAUAUUGGGAGAGUUGUGUCCCAUUAUUAGGAUAAGGUAUUCUUGCUGUUUGCCUAGUGUGACGACCCUGCCUCUUUUGGGUGCUGGGCUGGCUGCUUGUCUUUGUCUGUGUGUUUGUUUGUCUUGCAGAUGCCCAGCAGGUGUGUUCGGCUCGUCAGUGAUUGGGAACACCUGGGACCGGUACUAUAAGAGCACAUCCUACUGGUUCCAAAUGAGAUUCUGAGUGAGUGAGUGAGUGAGUGAGUGGUAUGUAUGUAUGUAUGUAUGUAGUUUAACUCUUGUGCAACAGCUACACAGUGUAGUUUGUUCACCUUGUCACUCAUUCAUUCAUUGAUUCAUCCUGUGCCAACCAACCCCACUCCCUGUUAAAACUCUGAAAGAACAGUGAAAACAAGCUUUAUCUUGGUGUUCCCCCAUCAGUGUGGAUGACCUUUCCAGUGACCUGUCCCUAAGGGGCAUCGCUGUCCAGUCCCUCCACGGUGACCGGGAGCAGUGUGACCGAGAGGAGGCCCUGCAGGACUUCAGAGAUGGUAAUGUGCGUAUACUGGUGGCCACAGACCUGGCAUCCAGGGGACUGGAUGUCAGUGAUAUCACACACGUCUUCAACUUCGACUUUCCACGGAACAUUGAAGAGUAUGUCCAUCGCGUGGGACGCACAGGACGAGCAGGGCGCUCAGGAGUGUCUGUAACGCUGGUGACGAGAGAUGACUGGAGUAAGGCGGCAGAGUUGAUCAACAUUCUUGAAAGAGCUGGUCGGGUAUGGUAUCCAAAUGGCCCUAGAUUACACAUAACAGAUGUGACUAACGCAGUUGAGACUCUUAGCUAUAAUGCUUACUGAAUAUGCGAUUAUUGGGAUGAACUUCAAAGUUGCCAGGGAAAGACACAACAAAGUGGCCAUCUUCAGAAGGUUGAUUCGGCACCCUUUUACUGAAGCACUUGCUCACUUCAGUGCUGCUCGUAUUUGGGGGUUCAUGGAUUGGGGUUUGUGUGUGUGUGUGUGUGUGUGUGUGUGUGUGUGUGUUUUAGGAGGUUCCGGAGGAGUUGGUCCUAAUGGCAGAACGGUGCGAGAAACAACAGCGAGAGAGGGCCAUGAUGCCCUCAGGAGAUGGGAGAGGAGGUGAAAGAGGAGUUGAUGGGAGACGACGAGGAGGAGG